rnacentral:misc_RNA from 1 species
GAUGAAGAACGUAGCAAAAUGCGAUAAGUAAUGUGAAUUGCAGAAUUCAGUGAAUCAUCGAAUCUAUGAACGCACAUUGCGCCCGCCAGUAUUCUGGCGGGCAUGCCUGUUCGAGCGUCAUUUCAACCCUCAAGCCCUCGGGUUUGGUGUUGGGGAUCGGCGAGCCUUUCUGGCAAGCCGGCCCCGAAAUCUAGUGGCGGUCUCGCUGCAGCCUCCAUUGCGUAGUAGUAAAACCCUCGCAACUGGAACGCGGCGCGGCCAAGCCGUUAAACCCCCAACUUCUGAAUGUUGACCUCGGAUCAGGUAGGAAUACCCGCUGAACUUAAGCAUAUCAAUAAGCGGAGGA